GGCGGCAUCUUACCAUGCAGUCGACGGCAGCAUAGGAGCUUGCUCCUGAUGGCGAGUGGCGAACGGGUGAGUAAUAUAUCGGAACGUGCCCUAGAGUGGGGGAUAACUAGUCGAAAGACUAGCUAAUACCGCAUACGAUCUACGGAUGAAAGUGGGGGAUCGCAAGACCUCAUGCUCCUGGAGCGGCCGAUAUCUGAUUAGCUAGUUGGUGGGGUAAAAGCCUACCAAGGCGACGAUCAGUAGCUGGUCUGAGAGGACGACCAGCCACACUGGGACUGAGACACGGCCCAGACUCCUACGGGAGGCAGCAGUGGGGAAUUUUGGACAAUGGGGGCAACCCUGAUCCAGCAAUGCCGCGUGAGUGAAGAAGGCCUUCGGGUUGUAAAGCUCUUUUGUCAGGGAAGAAACGGUAGUAGCUAAUAUCUAUUACUAAUGACGGUACCUGAAGAAUAAGCACCGGCUAACUACGUGCCAGCAGCCGCGGUAAUACGUAGGGUGCAAGCGUUAAUCGGAAUUACUGGGCGUAAAGCGUGCGCAGGCGGUUGUGUAAGUCAGAUGUGAAAUCCCCGGGCUCAACCUGGGAAUUGCAUUUGAGACUGCACGGCUAGAGUGUGUCAGAGGGGGGGUAGAAUUCCACGUGUAGCAGUGAAAUGCGUAAAUAUGUGGGAGGAAUACCGAUGGGCGRAARGCAGCCCCCUGGGAUAACACUGACGCUCAUGCACGAAAGCGUGGGGAGCAAACAGGAUUAGAUAACCCUGGUAGUCCACGCCCAUAAACGAAGGUCUACUAUUUGUUCGGGUCUUAAUUUGCAUAGGAUACCCAACCUAACGCGCYGAAGUAAACAGUCCUGGGGUUAUAAUU
rnacentral:rRNA from 1 species